rfam:Ixodes scapularis strain Wikel colony gcontig_1108378264982, whole genome shotgun sequence.
CCCCGGUUAGCUCAAUUGGUAGAGCGCUCCACCUGUAAUGGAGAGGUUCCGGGUUCGAUACCCGGACCAGGCG